UGUGAAGGGAGAAGAAGAGGUAAAGGGUAGUGGGUUAAAGGAAGAAGAAGAAGCUUCUUUUAAUGGGUCUUGGAUUUGUUUGUUAGCGAAGAAGAAGAAGAAGUGGGUCUUCGAUUUCAGAGCAAAAAUUACCAAUGACUCUCUCCAUUUUUUUGUUUUUUCUUCCUUUUCUUUUUCAUUUCAUCCUUUUUUUCUUUAGAGCAAAAAAUAUGGAAUAUUAUAUCCAAGUGGUGGUCCUCCCAAGACCCUUCUUUUUCCUUUACGUGUCCACCCCUUUUGUCCGUUGGAAGAAAGAGGAAAAGUUUUCUUUUGUGGUCCCCCUCUACGCGUGUCCAUUCCUUAUUAUAGGGAG
rnacentral:lncRNA from 1 species